rnacentral:rRNA from 1 species
AUCUGUGGCCAUGCCAUCCUGAAUGUGCCCGAUCUCGCCUAAUCUUGGAAGCUAAGCAGGGUCGGGCCUUGUUAGUACUUAGAUGGGAGAUCACCUAGAAAUAUCGGGUGCUGUAGGUG